AUGGGCAUCUCUUGGGACAACUGGCACAAACGCUGCAAGUCCAGGGGCAAGAGAAAGCCCUACCACAAGAAGCAGAAGGAUGAGUUGUGGCGCCCGGCUGCCAACACCAAGAUUGGCCCCCGCCGCAUCCACACAGUCCGUUUGUGGGGAGGUAAGAAGAAAUACGGUGCCCUGAGGCUGGACGGGGGAAUUUCUCCUGUGGCUCAGAGUGUUGUACUGGUAAAACAAGGAUCGUCCAUGUUGUCUACAAUACAUCUAAUAACGAGCUAGUCCGUACCAAGACCCUGGUGAAGAAUUGCAUCGUGCUCAUCAACAGCACACCGUCAGGACGGUGGUACUAGUCCCAUUAUGUGCUGCCCCUGGGCAGCAAAAAAAAAAAAAGAGGAAAUACGAUGAAAGGAAAAAGAAUGCCAAAAUCAGCAGUCUCCCGAAGGAGCAGUUCCAGCAGGGCAGCUUCUUGCUUACAUCGCUUCAGGGCCGGGACAGGGUGGCCGAGCAGAU
rnacentral:lncRNA from 1 species